rnacentral:ncRNA from 2 species
AUCUUAUCAAGAAAGGCAGAGGGUUUGGCCCAAUGAAGCCUUGGCAACCUGCUACGUACAAGCGUGGCAAGGUGCCAAUUCCACCUCCCGUAACCGCGGGGGAAAGAUAAGUC